AUGAACUUUGAGGGUUUCUGCUGGGUUUUAGGGUCUCCCAGUUGGAUUUUGGGAUCCGUCAAUGGGUUCUGUGGUCUCCCAGUUGGGUUCUGGGGUCACUCAAUGGGUUUUGGGGUCUCUCAGUGGGUUUUGGGGUCUCCUGGUUGGGUUUUGGGGUCUCCCGGUUGGGUUUUGGGGUCACUCAAUGGGUUUUGGGGUGUCCCAGUUGGAUUUUGGGCUCUCCCAGUUUGGAUACUGGGCUCUCCCAGUUUAGAAUUUUGGGCUCUCCCAGUUUGGAUGCUGGGCUCUCCCAGUUUGGAUGCUGUGCUCUCCCAGUUUAGAUUUGUGCUCUCCCAGUUUGGAUUUGCGCUCUCCCAGUUUGGAUGCUGUGCUCUCCCAGUUUGGAUAAUGGGCUCUCCCAGUUGGAUUUGCGCUCUCCCAG
rnacentral:lncRNA from 1 species